UCCGCCAGGACCAAUGAGGGCAGGCGCUGAGCGGAGUGUGUUGUCUCCUGUUGCUGUGAACGGGAUAUUUUAGGAGUCUGGAGAGCAGCGAGCGUCUCACCCCGACAGGAGCUCGAGCUCUGCGCACGUCCGCCCGUCUGUGUUUCUGUUUGAACCCACACAGGCUGCGACUGCAGGCGAGCUGGAGAAGCGCUAGAUCGCUGUGAGUACGGUGGAUGAGGCACCCAGGAAAGGAUAUCACGGUGGGCAGAGGAAAGGAGGCUUUAAAAACUGCUGCUCGACAAAAUUUUUGAAAGCAGGAGUCUGAGGGCGAUGUGGAGGAUCAGAUCAGCUCUGAUUUAAACUGAGAGCUGAAUCGGCCGUGGCCCAAUCGGCAGCAGCUCCUUCCCCGUGAGAGAGACCAAACCAUUCAACAACGUCGAAAGUUGCUUACUUCAAGAGGAAAUAUGCGGAGGAGGAGGAUUUACACAGAGGCCUACGUGGAUAUUUUCAAAAACACUUGAUACUGCAGGAGGACCGGAGCUGCAUCCUGAGGCUGUCCCUGGAGAAACUAAGGUUCCUGGAAGAUCCCGAGGCCUACCUGAGGCGCUCCGUCCUCAUCAACAACCUGCUGAGAAAAAUCCACCAUGAGGAGGAGGAGCUGGAGGCUGAGGAGGAGGAAGAAGAAGAUGAAGUAGAUGAAGAGGAAGAAGAGGAGGGAGUUAUCGGGGAUAGGGGGCAGCGGAGGCUGAUGUACCCAGACAGGAAGAGAGUGAAGGUGCUGGUGACAGACUGCUGCUCCCCGGGCUUUGGCCUGGAGGAGCUGCAGCACUACCGGCUGGUGCCGUGUUACCCGUCAGCUGGUUGCCUGUACAGCCUGGGUACCUGCCCGGGCCUCACCCCAAACCACCAGGUCCUCCUGUACAACCUGGAUGACAAUGGCUGACUCUCUGCUCCUCACCGCCAGGCCUCUUUUCAAAGCUGGGAACUGCAGCGUCGGUUCAUGUCACAGGCAUGUGGACUCGCACUGUUUGCUCCAACCAGCAGGAGGAAAGCUGCUGCUGCUGCUGCUGUUUUUCUCCCUGUUCGCUAAAAAUGCUUUGAGGGGAAUGUGUCGCAGGCUCUGUUUCGUGCAUCAGCAGGACGUCGCCUCUUCUCGUCACCUUGCUGAGAAGCAGUGGUGGAUUCAAGAAUCUGAGAGACCAUUUUCUUCUUCUGCCUCAGGAGUGUUGAUAUUAAACUCUGCAGCAGCAUUACUGCUAUUUACUGUUUGUGCAAAUGUAAGAGACUUUAAGCAGGCAGCAUUUUUUUUAAAUUCUUUGCAGCUGUAGUAUUAUUGAUUUUUAUUGUUACUGUUGCUCAUGUAAACUGUGAGCGCAUUCAGGGAUUUACAGACUUCUGGCUACUUUUGAUGCACCUUGGCUUGCGUGGAGAAUAUUUGCUGAUUUGCUUCUGUUAUCUUUUUAUGCUACUGUGUGAUUUAUGAAAUAUUCUGUGUAACAUUCCCUGGAUCGUGUGAAUUCUAAUGCUAUG